UUUUUACAGCGUUCACCUGAGGGGUUAGGUCAUGUGAUAUUUUUAUAGAGCAGGUUGUUUCGGACACGGUGAUAUCUAAGAUAUCUACUUUUUUAAUUUAUUUCACUUUAACACAAUAAUAUCAUUUUUGAA